CAUAUAUCUAUAAAAUACUAGAAUCUUUUCUGUUAGGCUGCACCUGUGGAAAUUUCAAAGUUUACUGAAAAUUUCAAAAUUUGGUGUAUUGAUGUAAUUUUCCACGCUGAAUCUUAGGGGCUAAUUCACUUUCUCUAGA